GCCGGGAUAGUCUAGUGGUUAUGACGUCUGCCUUACACGCAGAAAGUCGCGAGUUCACUCUUCGCUCCUGGUA
rnacentral:tRNA from 1 species